CCUACGGGAGGCAGCAGUGAGGAAUAUUGGUCAAUGGACGAGAGUCUGAUCCAGCCAAGUAGCGUGAAGGAAGACUGCCCUCUGGGUUGUAAACUCCUUUUAUAUGGGAAUAAAACGUUCCACGUGUGGGAUUUUGUAUGUACCAUAUGAAUAAGGCUCGGCUAACUCUGUGCCAGCAGCCGCGGUAAUACGGAGGAUCCGAGCGUUAUCCGGAUUUAUUGGGUUUAAAGGGAGCGUAGGUGGAUUGUUAAGUCAGUUGUGAAAGUUUGCGGCUCAACCGUAAAAUUGCAGUUGAAACUGGCAGGCUGGAGUACAGUAGAGGUAGGCGGAAUUCGUGGUGUAGCGGUGAAAUGCUUAGAUAUCACGAAGAACACCGAUUGCGAAGGCAGUUCACUGGACUGCAACUGACACUGAGGCUCGAAAGUGUGGGUAUCAAACAGGAUUAGAUACCCCAGUAGUC
rnacentral:rRNA from 1 species